GGGACGGCACAGGGUUUUCACCGUUUCCACUGUCUUAGGCCUGGCCGAAGGCGAACGGUGUCAGACUAGGCCACGUCUC
rnacentral:ncRNA from 1 species